AUGCUCGUAAGAUAGUUGGGUUUGUAUAUUUGGUAAUCUAAAGUAAUAAACUGCAGUACGCGCGAUUUCGUACAUUUUGAUAAUUUGGGCUUAAUGGGCCAAAGAUCGGGUUCAUGGGCCAACGGGCCCAAUUCAAUAAGUAUGUGCGGUAAUCCCCAACCAUAGUGGGCUUGGAGCUGUGAGGGAAUUCGGAGUGGCCACCUGUUCUGAAAGUUUGAUUUUCUUCUGGUGAACUGGACAUCCUUUUAUUUACGUUUGAAGUUUUGGGUUUUUAAAUGUAAUAAGGCCGCUUAUUUAUUUUUGAUGGUUUUUUUUAUAUGUAUUACUAAGAUAGGUAA